CNNUCNAGUAUGGCCUCGAUAUCUGGACUGUUUGNAUAUUGGUAGAUGUUGUGUUGAAACCUGCGAUUUUAGAUGCUGAAAUUCUGUAGAUAGUCGCNAGAACACUCGGUGGCGAAGUCGGCCCNACUGGACCAUUAUCUNACUGCCUGAGUGCGCGUAUAAGUCGUGGGGAGCAUANACAGGAUUAGAUUAUCCCUGGUUAGUUCCNACUCCUGUUAACGAUGAAUUGCCAGCUUUUGGGGUGCUUUGCACCGCAGUAGCGCAUGCUAACGCUUUGAGCAUUCCGCCUGGGGAGUACGGUCGCAAGAUUAUAAACUCUAAAUGGUAUAUUUGACGGGGGCCCGCACAUAUGCGGUGGAGCAUGUGUGUUUAAUUCGAAGCAACGCGCAGAACCUUACCAUCCUUUGACAUGGCGUGUUACCCAUGAGAGAUUUGGGGUCCACUUACGGUGGCGCGCAACACAUGGUGCUGCAUGUCUGUCGUCAGCUCGUGUCGUGAGAUGUUUGGGUUAAGUCCCGCAACGAGCGCAACCCACGUCCUUAUGUUGCCAUCAUUCAGUUGGGCACUCUAGGGAGACUGCCGGUGUAUAAGCCGCGAGGAAGGUGUGGAUGACGUCAAGUCCUCAUGGCCCUUACGGGAUGGGCUACACACGUGCUACAAUGGCGGUGACAGUGGGACGCGAAGGAGCGAUCUGGAUGCAAAUCCCCAAAGCCGUCUCAGUUCGGAUUGCACUCUGNCACUACGAGUGCAUNGAAGGCCGGAAAUACAANACGNAAGNUGCGANGANUANGUNCUCUGUANACNGACUGAUNGCC
rnacentral:rRNA from 1 species